rnacentral:rRNA from 1 species
AGCCCCACUCUAGCCCAACCACUCAAACAAACCACAAUAACAAAAAUCCACGCAUCCACUAAACUAAAACAUUCUACCUGGCUUAGUAUAGGUGAUAGAAAAGCACCCAUGGCGCCAUAGAACUUCGUACCGUAAGGGAAAGAUGAAAUAACAAUGAAAACUAAAGCAAUAAAAAGCAAAGAUAAGCCCUUGUACCUUUUGCAUCAUGAUUUAGCAAGAACAACCAAGCAAAACGAAUUUAAGCUUGCCCCCCCGAAACCCACGCGAGCUACUCGCAAGCAGCUAUUCAUGAGCCAACCCGUCUCUGUGACAAAAGAGUGGGAUGACUUGCCAGUAGAGGUGAAAAUCCAACCGAGCUGGGUGAUAGCUGGUUGCCUGUGAAAUGAACCCUAGUUCCCCCCUGACUAGCACCCAUUGGAAAACUAAAUUAAGCCAACAUGUCUCUAUCAGGAGUAAAUUAAAGGAGGUACAGCUCCUUUAAAAUGGACACAACCCAUGCUAGCGGAUAAUACUCUUCCUUUCUAAUUGUGGGCCUUCAAGCAGCCAUCAACAAAGAUUGCGUCAAAGCUCAGUAUUACUAAAAACCCGUACACACCACGACUCCCUUUACACUAACAGGCUAACCUAUUUAUACAUAGGAGAAUUUAUGCUAAAAUGAGUAACCAGGGCUUCCCCCUCUGAAGCGCGAGCUUACAUCCUCAUAUUAUUAACAAACCACCUAAUACCUAUAUACCAACAAGAUUAGGUAUUCUAAUCCCUUGUUACCCCAACUCCGGAGCGCUCUUUAGAAAGAUUAAAAUCUGUAAAAGGAACUAGGCAAACCCAAGGCCCGACUGUUUACCAAAAACAUAGCCUUUAGCAAACCAAGUAUUAAAGGUGAUGCCUGCCCAGUGACACCACGUUAAACGGCCGCCGGUAUCCUAACCGUGCAAAGGUAGCGCAAUCAAUUGUCCCAUAAAUCGAGACUUGUAUGAAUGGCUAAACGAGGUCUUAACUGUCUCUUACAGAUAAUCAGUGAAAUUGAUCCCCCCGUGCAAAAGCAGGGAUAAGCACAUAAGACGAGAAGACCCUGUGGAACUUCAAAAUCAACAGCCACCACACACUAAACCUCACCCUACCAGGCUCACCACCUAAACCCAUGGCUGACAUUUUUCGGUUGGGGCGACCUUGGAGAAAAACCCAUCCUCCAAAAAUAAGACCUAAUUUCUUAACCAAGAACAACCUCUCAACGUACAAACAGUAACCAGACCCAAUAUAAUUGAUUAAUGAACCAAGCUACCCCAGGGAUAACAGCGCAAUCUCCUUCAAGAGCCCAUAUCGACAAGGAGGUUUACGACCUCGAUGUUGGAUCAGGACACCCUGAUGGUGCAGCCGCUAUCAAGGGUUCGUUUGUUCAACGAUUAACAGUCCUACGUGAUCUGAGUUCAGACCGGAGUAAUCCAGGUCGGUUUCUAUCUAUGAUCAGCCCCUCCUAGUACGAAAGGACCGGAGAGGCGGGGCCUAGGCUACAAGCAAGCCCCCACACCAAAGUAAUGAACUUAACUAAAUUACGAAGGAAUCACCCACCCUGACAUCCUAGAAAAGGACU